AUGAACGGCAUCAUCGACACCAACGACGACGUCACUCUGCUCCGCAAGCGCGGCGUGGUGAUCAACCGCAUGAAGAAGAGCGACGGCGAGGCCGCCAAGCUGUGGAACGGCAUGAGCCGCUCGGUGCAGCACUCCAAGGUGCCGGACCUGGACGCGGUCAUCGACGACGUGAACCGCUACUACGGCCGCCGGUGGAGCGUCAAGGCGAAGCGGUUCAUGCGCAAGUACGUGCUCAGCUCAUGGAAGAUGCUCACCUUCCUCGCCACCAUCAGCAUGCUGCUGCUCACCACCUUGCAGGCCUUCUGCUCCGUCUACACGUGCUCCCGGUGGUUCACUGACGUUGUUGUCACGGUCACGCCGACAUCAAGAGAGUAG
rnacentral:rRNA from 1 species